rnacentral:rRNA from 1 species
AUUGAACGCUGGCGGCAUGCCUUACACAUGCAAGUCGAACGGUAACGCGGGGCAACCUGGCGACGAGUGGCGAACGGGUGAGUAAUAUAUCGGAACGUGCCCAGUAGUGGGGGAUAGCCCGGCGAAAGCCGGAUUAAUACCGCAUGAGACCUGAGGGUGAAAGCGGGGGAUCGCAAGACCUCGCGCUAUUGGAGCGGCCGAUAUCAGAUUAGGUAGUUGGUGGGGUAAAGGCCUACCAAGCCGACGAUCUGUAGCUGGUCUGAGAGGACGACCAGCCACACUGGGACUGAGACACGGCCCAGACUCCUACGGGAGGCAGCAGUGGGGAAUUUUGGACAAUGGGCGCAAGCCUGAUCCAGCCAUGCCGCGUGCGGGAAGAAGGCCUUCGGGUUGUAAACCGCUUUUGUCAGGGAAGAAAUCUUCUGGGCUAAUACCUCGGGAGGAUGACGGUACCUGAAGAAUAAGCACCGGCUAACUACGUG